UAACCAUGCUGAAUAUGGCAGCUCUAACUGUGCUCAGUGAGUUAUAAAGGAAGAAAUAAGAGAAGAGAGCAUGAAACUGGGAGAGAACAUGGUGGGGUCUGGGAGAAGUUGAGCGAUUCUUUCCCUGAGAAGUGCAUCUGUGAUGCCCGCCUGUGCUGCUGUAUGUUAUCAUAGCUUGAUCCUCCGAACUGUCCAGUAUUAUUCUACUAUUGGUUCAUGAAUCUGAGCUCUUUCUGACACAUCCAAGUAAAUCCAAGAGGCCACGUGUGUCGGAAAAAUUACGCACCAUGGGAUAGAGGAAGUUGCCAAGUCACCCAGCUUAGCAGAGCCAUUCCACUGUUAGGCGUGUUGACCAAAUAAAUUGAAUGGCAACUAAGACAGGAUACCACGUUUCAAAGUUGGCAGCCUUCAAGUAGGAGAAAAAUCCUUUCUAGAUGGCCACGUCAUUCGGAAGAAACCAAAGGGGCAGACUCCAAAGCUCUGCUCAGAUAGUUUUGUUGUGCUUUGUUUUUAAUUUAAUCUACCAGGGAAAAACUGGGUUUAGAAAGCAAAAUUGAAAUCUAUU